rnacentral:lncRNA from 1 species
UCUCUUGGCCACCGCCUCGCCCCCGCCUCUCUCUCUCCUAUCCCGCCUCGUUCUCUCUCUCCGAUCCCGCCGAUCUCUCUCCGAUCUCUCUCCGAUCUUCCUGCCGGGAUCCGCAUCUCUCCUCUCUCCUUUAUCGCUUUUCUCCCUCUCGGCGCACCCUUCCCUUCCUCUGCUCCGUUCAUCGAAACCCCCUCACAUCGCCUCCUCCUCAGCCGCCAUCGUCAUCGUCGUCGCCGCUGCCUCCUCCUCCUUCGACGAGCUCGAUUCCGAGGGUGACUCCCCUCGCGGCUCCUCCAAGGUGAGCAUUAGCAAUUCCUCCCUUUGGAUUCUCCGCCUUCGUUUCCUGGCACUCCCAAAUCCCUUAACCAAAUCCCGCCUCUCCUACCUCGCCUUCUCCCGCUGGCUCCGCCUCAGCCUCUCCGUCGGCGCAGCGCCACUUCCCCUUCGCCCCGCGUGUCCCCCGAAUC